rnacentral:rRNA from 1 species
AUUCACCGCUGGCGGCAGACUUAACUCGUGAUAAUCGCGCGAGUGGCGGAAGGGUGAGUAAUGCUUGGGAAUCUAGCUUAUGGAGGGGGAUAACUACGGGAAACUGUAGCUAAUACCGCGUACCAUAGGAUGAGCCCAAGUGGGAUUAGGUAGUUGGUGAGGUAAAGGCUCACCAAGCCGACGAACUCUAUCUGGUCUGAGAGGAGGACCAGCCACAAUGGGAGUGAGAAACGGCCCAGAUUCAGACUGGAGGAAGCAUGGGGGAAUAUUGCGCAAUGGGGGCAACCUGACGCAGCCAGGCAGCGUGAAUGAAGAAGUCCUUCGGGUUGGAAAGUUCUUUCGGGAGAGAGGCGUUAACUACAGAAGAAGCACCGGCUAACUCCGUGCCAGCCGCCGCGGUAAUAC